rnacentral:tRNA from 1 species
GGGCGCUUAGCUCAACGGCAGAGCAGUCGGCUCAUAACUGAUUGGUUGAAGGUUCGAAUCCUUCAGCGCCCA